rnacentral:rRNA from 1 species
AGGGUUUGAUUCUGGCUCAGGAUGAACGCUGGCGGCGUGCUUAACACAUGCAAGUCGAACGAAGCACUCAGGAGCGAUUUCGGUCAAUCCUGUUUGACUGAGUGGCGGACGGGUGAGUAACGCGUGAGGAACCUGCCUUGCAGUGGGGAAUAACAGUUGGAAACGACUGCUAAUACCGCAUAAUGCAGAGAGACCGCAUGAUCUUUCUGCCAAAGAUUUAUCGCUGUAAGAUGGCCUCGCGUCUGAUUAGCUAGUUGGUGGGGUAACGGCCUACCAAGGCGACGAUCAGUAGCCGGACUGAGAGGUUGACCGGCCACAUUGGGACUGAGACACGGCCCAG